UACGUAGGGUGCAAGCGUUAAUCGGAAUUACUGGGCGUAAAGCGUGCGCAGGCGGUCUUGCAAGACAGAUGUGAAAUCCCCGGGCUUAACCUGGGAACUGCAUUUGUGACUGCAUUGCUGGAGUGCGGCAGAGGGGGAUGGAAUUCCGCGUGUAGCAGUGAAAUGCGUAGAUAUGCGGAGGAACACCGAUGGCGAAGGCAAUCCCCUGGGCCUGCACUGACGCUCAUGCACGAAAGCGUGGGGAGCAAACAGG
rnacentral:rRNA from 1 species